rnacentral:rRNA from 1 species
GAUGAACGCUGGCGGCGUGCCUAAUACAUGCAAGUCGAGCGAACAGACGAGGAGCUUGCUCCUCUGACGUUAGCGGCGGACGGGUGAGUAACACGUGGAUAACCUACCUAUAAGACUGGGAUAACUUCGGGAAACCGGAGCUAAUACCGGAUAAUAUAUUGAACCGCAUGGUUCAAUAGUGUAAGACGGUUUUGCUGUCACUUAUAGAUGGAUCCGCGCCGCAUUAGCUAGUUGGUAAGGUAACGGCUUACCAAGGCAACGAUGCGUAGCCGACCUGAGAGGGUGAUCGGCCACACGGGAACUGAGCCACGGUCCAGACUCCUACGGGGGGCAGCAGUAGGGAAUCUUCCGCAAUGGGCGAAAGCCUGACGGAGCAACGCCGCGUGAGUGAUGAAGAUCUUCGGAUCGUAAAACUCUGUUAUUAGGGAAGAACAAAUGUGUAAGUAACUAUGCACGUCUUGACGGUACCUAAUCAGAAAGCCACGGCUAACUACGUG